rnacentral:rRNA from 1 species
CCUACGGGAGGCUGCAGUGGGGGAUAUUGCACAAUGGGGGGAACCCUGAUGCAGCGACGCCGCGUGGGUGAAGAAGCGCCUCGGCGCGUAAAGCCCUGUCAGCAGGGAAGAAAAUGACGGUACCCGAAGAAGAAGCCCCGGCCAACUACGUGCCAGCAGCCGCGGUAAUACGUAGGGGGCAAGCGUUAUCCGGAUUUACUGGGUGUAAAGGGGGCGCAGACGGCGAUGCAAGCCAGGAGGGAAAGCCCGGGGGCCAACCCCGGGACUGCGCUUGGAACUGCGUGGCUGGAGUGCAGGAGGGGCAGGCGGAAUUCCUGGUGUAGCGGUGAAAUGCGUAGAUAUCAGGAGGAACACCGGUGGCGAAGGCGGCCUGCUGGACUGCAACUGACGUUGAGGCCCGAAAGCGUGGGGAGCAAACAGGAUUAGAUACCCCUGUAGUC